rnacentral:rRNA from 1 species
GAGCGAACGGGAUUAGAUACCCCGGUAGCCCACGCCGUAAACGAUGGAUGCUAGCAGUGCACCGUAUCGAUCCGGUGCGUUGCGAAGCUAACGCGUUAAGCAUCCCGCCUGUGGAGUACGAGCGCAAGCUUAAAACAUAAAGGAAUUGACGGGGACCCGCACAAGCGGUGGAGCGUGCUGUUUAAUACGUCGGUAGGCGUAGAACCUUACCAGGGUUUGACAUCUCGGGAAGGUCUCUGAAAGGAGACUGUGCCUUCGGGAACCCGAUGACAGGUGUUGCAUGGCCGUCGUCAGCUCGUGUCGUGAGAUGUUUGGUUAAGUCCAUCAACGAGCGCAACCCUUGUAGUUAGUUGAAUUUUUCUAGCUAGACUGCCUCGGUAACGGGGAGGAAGGAGGGGAUGAUGUCAGGUCAGUAUUACCCUUACACCCUGGGCUACAAGCACGCUACAAUGGCCGGUACAAAGGGCAGCUAAGUCGCGAGACGGAGCAAAUCCCAUCAAAGCCGGUCUCAGUUCGGAUUGCAGGCUGAAACUCGCCUGCAUGAAGCCGGAAUCGCUAGUAACGGUAGGGCAGCCUUACUGCCGUGAAUACGUUCCCGGGUCUUGUACACACCGCCCGUCAAACCAUGAAAGU